rnacentral:rRNA from 1 species
AGUUUGAUCCUGGCUCAGGAUGAACGCUAGCGGGAGGCCUAACACAUGCAAGCCGAGCGGUAUUUGUCCUUCGGGACAGAGAGAGCGGCGCACGGGUGCGGAACACGUGUGCAACCUGCCUUUAUCAGGGGGAUAGCCUUUCGAAAGGAAGAUAAAUACCCCAUAAUAUAAUUGAUGGCAUCAUUGAUUAUUGAAAGCUCCGGCGGAUAGAGAUGGGCACGCGCAAGAUUAGAUAGUUGGUGAGGUAACGGCUCACCAAGUCAGUGAUCUUUAGGGGGCCUGAGAGGGUGAUCCCCCACACUGGUACUGAGACACGGACCAGACUCCUACGGGAGGCAGCAGUGAGGAAUAUUGGACAAUGGGUGAGAGCCUGAUCCAGCCAUCCCGCGUGAAGGACGACGGCCCUAUGGGUUGUAAACUUCUUUUGUACAGGGAUAAACCUGCCCUCGUGAGGGUAGCUGAAGGUACUGUACGAAUAAGCACCGGCUAACUCCGUGCCAGCAGCCGCGGUAAUACGGAGGGUGCAAGCGUUAUCCGGAUUUAUUGGGUUUAAAGGGUCCGUAGGCGGGCCUGUAAGUCAGUGGUGAAAUCUCGCAGCUUAACUGCGAAACUGCCAUUGAUACUGCAGGUCUUGAGUAAGGUAGAAGUGGCUGGAAUAAUUAGUGUAGCGGUGAAAUGCAUAGAUAUUACUUAGAACACCAAUUGCGAAGGCAGGUCACUAUGUCUUAACUGACGCUGAUGGACGAAAAG